rnacentral:lncRNA from 10 species
AUGCUGGGAGCCAGGAGACCCAGUUCUGUUUUAUGCGCGGGGCUGGGCAUCACUGCCCUAACCAGGAAAGCAGAAAUCAGAAUGAAUUCAAUCCUAGAGUCUCAUGAGAAGAGAUCACUCAGCCUGCUAGAAGGACCAUCCUGUCUGGAAUCACAGGAAUUAAGAGAAACCACAACUUUGCUCAACUCUCAGUGCAACAUAAAACAUGUUAGCACUUGGGAAAAGGCAGGUGAGUGACAGAGAAAAGCCCUUGCAAUGAAUUCAUUCCUUCCUGGUUGUCUGUUUGGGUCUGCCUGCCUCCCACCUGCCCAUCUAGAGACCUCUCUCUCCACACCAUCCUCUCCAGAACCCACCCCACAUCCUGACUGCUCUGCAAAAUGAUAAGUGUGAUUAACCUGCCACACACCUGAACUUAGAAAGAAAAUGUGUUAAGGGAACAGGAAAGGGAGGGGAAAUAAUGUAAAUAUCAAAUAUAUGGUACAUACCAAGUAGGUUAGCAGGGCAAGCCUUAAGUGAAAUGUUAGAAAGCAGCAUUCGGCUGCACAGCUGCGCUUGGGGAGUUGAGAGUUAGGCUUCAUUCACUCACAUUUCAUUCUGCAGCAAUAAAGGCUGCUAAGAAGCACCUUGAGUUUUCAAAACUGCCCAAGCAUGAUGGGACGGAAUAGGAUGGGGUGGCAGGGAAUCUUGAGAUGGGGUCGGUGGAUGCUCCACAGAGCAGGUGGUCUUGCACCCAAGAACACCUUAUGUGUAAUUCACCAAGGUUAAGCAGGGCCCCUCUCAGAAUUUCACCUCGGCCCCUCCUUCACAGCCAAGAUUCUAGGGCAACACCUCCAAUGAGAAUGGAAAUGGGCUCACCUUUUGCUUUUCCCCGG